rnacentral:tRNA from 1 species
GGGCCUGUAGCUCAAUUGGUAGAGCAAGGGACUCUUAAUCCCUGGGUUGUAAGUUCGAUUCUUACCGGGCUCA